rnacentral:rRNA from 1 species
AAGCAUAUCAAUAAGCGGAGGAAAAGAAACCAACAGGGAUUGCCUCAGUAACGGCGAGUGAAGCGGCAACAGCUCAAAUUUUAAAGCCGGCGUCCUCGACGCCCGCGUUGUAAUUUGGAGAGGCAUCUUCGGUUUGGGCGCCAGCCUAUGUUCCUUGGAACAGGACGUCACAGAGGGUGAGAAUCCCGUGCUUGGCUGGCUGUCCCUCUCCAUGUGAAGUGUCUUCGACGAGUCGAGUUGUUUGGGAAUGCAGCUCAAAAUGGGUGGUAAAUUUCAUCUAAAGCUAAAUAUUGGCGGGAGACCGAUAGCGCACAAGUAGAGUGAUCGAAAGAUGAAAAGCACUUUGAAAAUAGAGUUAAAAAGUACGUGAAAUUGUUGAAAGGGAAGCGCUUGAGACCAGACUCGGCCGACGGCGAUCAGCGGCCCUUCUGGGCUGUGCACUCGUCAUCGGUUCGGGCCAGCAUCGGUCGAGACGGCGGGAUAAAGGCCCGAGGAAUGUGGCUCCUCUCGGGGAGUGUUAUAGCCUCGGGCGCAAUGCCGCCCGCCUCGACCGAGGACCGCGCUCUUUUGCUAGGAUGCUGGCGUAAUGGUCUUCAGCGACCCGUCUUGAAACACGGACCAAGGAGUCUAACAUCUAUGCGAGUGUUUGGGUGUCAAACCCUUGCGCGUAAUGAAAGUGAACGGAGGUGGGAACCCCUCCCCUGGGGGGGCGCACCAUCGACCGAUCCUGAUGUCUUCGGAUGGAUUUGAGUAGGAGCAUAGCUGUUGGGACCCGAAAGAUGGUGAACUAUGCCUGAAUAGGGUGAAGCCAGAGGAAACUCUGGUGGAGGCUCGCAGCGGUUCUGACGUGCAAAUCGAUCGUCAAAUUUGGGUAUAGGGGCGAAAGA